rnacentral:rRNA from 1 species
CGUAAUUAGAUCGGUGCACGCCAAGUGCACAGUGGGCCACCAAUGGGCCGAUGUGAAGUUUAUUCGGAACAAAUGGCGUGAUCUUUUACGGUUGCGUGUAUUGUCUGGUAAGCGCGUCGUGUCCCGUAGUGACUGUCUGAUGGRUUUUAAAGACUGUAUCAUCAAUGAUUCGUCAUUGACGCUCUCGCGGGCGUAAUAUACGAUACAUGUCCGAUCAACGGCGGUCAAGUUUGGGAUACCUUUUGGACCCGUCUUGAAACACGGACCAAGGAGUCUAUCUAGUAUGCGAGUAAAUGGAUAGUUGAUGAAAUCUAUUUGCGUAAUAAACGUGACUGUUUUUAUGGGACUACGAUUAGAUAACUUUUAUUAGUUACUUUUCUUCCGUCUCGGGGUAUUUUCAUCAACAUAUGCGCAAGCAUAUGGAAAAUAUACCGUGAGCACACUGGAUACGACCCGAAAGAUGGUGAACUAUGCCUGAUCAGGUCGAAGUCAGGGGAAACUCUGAUGGAGGACCGAAGCAGYUCUGACGUGCAAAUCGAGUGUCAAAAUUGCGCAUAGGGGCGAAACACACC